rnacentral:rRNA from 1 species
GACGGAGGCCUUCGGGUCGUAAACCGCUUUCAGCAGGGAAGAGUCAAGACUGUACCUGCAGAAGAAGCCCCGGCUAACUACGUGCCAGCAGCCGCGGUAAUACGUAGGGGGCGAGCGUUUAUCCGGAUUCAUUGGGCGUAAAGCGCGCGUAGGCGGCCCGGCAGGCCGGGGGUCGAAGCGGGGGGCUCAACCCCCCGAAGCCCCCGGAACCUCCGCGGCUUGGGUCCGGUAGGGGAGGGUGGAACACCCGGUGUAGCGGUGGAAUGCGCAGAUAUCGGGUGGAACACCGGUGGCGAAGGCGGCCCUCUGGGCCGAGACCGACGCUGAGGCGCGAAAGCUGGGGGAGCGAACAGGAUUAGAUACCCUGGUAGUCCCAGCCGUAAAGAAUGGGGCGUUAGGUGGGGGGGGACGAUCCCCCCGUGCCGCCACCAACGCAUUAAGCGUCCCGCCUGGGGAGUACGGCCGCAAGGGCUAAAACUUCAAAGGAAAUUGACGGGGGCCCGCACAAGCAGCGGAGCAUGUGGCUUAAUUCGAAGCAACGCGAAGAACCUUACCAGGGCUUGACAUAUGGGUGAAGCGGGGGAGACCCCGUGGCCGAGAGGAGCCCAUACAGGUGGUGCAUGGCUGUCGUCAGCUCGUGUCGUGAGAUGUUGGGUUAAGUCCCGCAACGAGCGCAACCCCCGCCGCGUGUUGCCAUCGGGUGAUGCCGGGAACCCACGCGGGACCGCCGCCGUCAAGGCGGAGGAGGGCGGGGACGACGUCAAGUCAUCAUGCCCCUUAUGCCCUGGGCUGCACACGUGCUACAAUGGCCGGUACAGAGGGAUGCCACCCCGCGAGGGGGAGCGGAUCCCGGAAAGCCGGCCCCAGUUCGGAUUGGGGGCUGCAACCCGCCCCCAUGAAGUCGGAGUUGCUAGUAAUCGCGGAUCAGCAUGCCGCGGUGAAUGCGUUCCCGGGCCUUGCACU